UACGUAGGGAGCAAGCGUUGUCCGGAAUCAUUGGGCGUAAAGCGCGCGUAGGUGGUCCCGUAAGUCCGCUGUGAAAGUCAAAGGCUCAACCUUUGAAAGCCGGUGGAUACUGUGGGACUAGAGUACGGAAGAGGCGAGUGGAAUUCCUGGUGUAGCGGUGGAAUGCGCAGAUAUCAGGAGGAACACCAAUUGCGAAGGCAGCUCGCUGGGCCAUUCCUGACGCUGAGACGCGAAAGCUAGGGGAGCGAACAGG
rnacentral:rRNA from 1 species